rnacentral:lncRNA from 1 species
AUACAACAAAAUCUUCUGUGUAAAUACCGAUAACCAAAAUGAUAGCGUCAUAUGUUUUGAAUUGCUUUGUUGUGUGAUAGAAAAUUAUGAUGGAUUUUAUUUUAACAAGUCUCUAUGUAAGUUAGUUGGUUUGUUCAAAGCGUUUAACGCAAUUUCCCUUUAAGUAUAUUAUUUUUGUAUUUAUCUGUAAAUGUCAUGGCCGCUACUUUUUGCGCCAUUAUAAAGUUUGCAAAUCUGGAUUCAAUGUAUUACUAUCGUAGUACAAUGCUUCCCUUUGAAAAUACUUGAACAAAAAACAAGUAAAUAAAUAAAUAUCAUAAUCAAUAUAAAUUACAAUAACUGUUUAUUACUUGACCUACGAAAUUGAAACUCUUACUAGUGUGUUUUUAAAAAAUAAAUGCCAGCAUUUGUGUUGUUUGUUUACCUUGAUAUUGCAUUUGUUUAAGUUUGCAUGCAUAUUUUUGUUAAAUACUUAUUGGAUAUGAUUUGAUUUUGAUUUUUUGUCGUUUUAACGCCUCUUUUGGGUUAUCUUGUGGCUGCUUGUUUUUAUUUGUGGAGGAAGCCGGAGUGCCCUGAGAAAACUACCGACCUUGGAUAGGAAAACUGACAGUCAAUUAACAUUGGAGUCGAGUACAUAUUGGAAUGUUAUCUCUUGCAUUUUCAAUCGUUGAAUUCGAAUAGUACCAUUUGUGAUUUCAUUUUAGAUACGAUAUAAAAAUAGACACAUACAGUUAAAUACACUAUUUUUUCUAAUGUUCUGUAUUUUCAUAUAAAUUAAGUAUUGUUUUGCCAAGUAGAAAACAAACGGGUUUUUGCGGGUUUUUUUCUUUUUUAAAAAUGACAUAUACUUUUUGAAUUUAAAAGGUGAUGACAGUGUUUGGUUGCACCAUGAUAUCUGAAGCUGAUGUACAAAAAUGCCCUUUCCCGCCGCAAUGCGAUUGUCAUACUUUUGGAGUACUUCAAGAAUAUUGCCAGGACAAAGGAUUUACAGAAGUUCCUACUCUUAGCGCUUCAUUCUAUAAUGGAACAUGGUUUGUAGACCUUUCAGAUAAUAAAAUAACAUCACUGACAGCAAAUGCGUUCAAAAAUAUUAAGUUAGACACGUUAUGGAUAUCGAACAACAACAUUAUUUACAUUGACAUUG